CGGGAAGCCUCGAUGUUGCAC
rnacentral:rRNA from 1 species